rnacentral:snRNA from 1 species
AUUCUUGCGCAAGGGUGUUAGAUGUGUCAUUAAGGAUUCGUCCAAGACCACCUUAGUAGUAGUUGAAAACUAUACAACGGCCAGCUUCCAGCUGGCCUUCAUGCCGGCUGGAGGAUUUUGGGAGCGCAUUACCCUCCCUCAUUUGGUAUCUUUCAUUGUGC